rnacentral:tRNA from 1 species
GCCUGGGUGGCUCAGUCGGUUAAGCGUCCGACUUCGGCUCAGGUCAUGAUCUCGCGGUCCGUGGGUUCGAACCCCGCGUCGGGCU